GUAAGGAACUGAGUGACUGUGACCUGGUCCAUAUUGGAACAGUGAUGACUGGGUCAGAGCAUCUCCACAACUGCAGGUCUUCUUGGGUGGUCCUGGUCUGAAAUGGUUAGUACCAACCAAAAAAUGGACCAAGGAAGGACAUUCAAAUUUGCGGA